GGGAAGUGGCGCAGCCUACACAUGCAGUCCGAACGGUAGCACAGAAGAAGCUUGCUUCCUCCGGGUGACGAAGUGGCGGACGGGUGAGUAAUGUCUGGGAAACUGCCUGAUGGAGGGGGAUAACUACUGGAAACGGUAGCUAAUACCGCAUAACGUCGCAAGACCAAAGAGGGGGACCUUCGGGCCUCUUGCCAUCAGAUGUGCCCAGAUGGGAUUAGCUAGUAGGUGGGGUAACGGCUCACCUAGGCGACGAUCCCUAGCUGGUCUGAGAGGAUGACCAGCCACACUGGAACUGAGACACGGUCCAGACUCCUACGGGAGGCAGCAGUGGGGAAUAUUGCACAAUGGGCGCAAGCCUGAUGCAGCCAUGCCGCGUGUAUGAAGAAGGCCUUCGGGUUGUAAAGUACUUUCAGCGGGGAGGAAGGUGAUGAGGUUAAUAACCUUGUCGAUUGACGUUACCCGCAGAAGAAGCACCGGCUAACUCCGUGCCAGCAGCCGCGGUAAUACGGAGGGUGCAAGCGUUAAUCGGAAUUACUGGGCGUAAAGCGCACGCAGGCGGUCUGUCAAGUCGGAUGUGAAAUCCCCGGGCUCAACCUGGGAACUGCAUUCGAAACUGGCAGGCUAGAGUCUUGUAGAGGGGGGUAGAAUUCCAGGUGUAGCGGUGAAAUGCGUAGAGAUCUGGAGGAAUACCGGUGGCGAA
rnacentral:rRNA from 1 species